CCCUUAGACGCUCUAGGCGGCACGCGCGCUACAAUGGGUGGUAGAACGUGUAACUGCUCCCGAAAGGGAGGGUGAACCACGAAUACUUACCCGUGAAUGGGAUAGUUUGUUGCAAUUUUCGGACUUGAACUAGGAAUCCCUUGUAAGAAUGCUCAAGAAUAGCGUGCUGAAUACGUCCCUGCCGUUUGUACACACCGCCCGUCGUUUCUUCCGACUGAUACUCAUUGUGAGUUGCAAGGAUUCUUAUUGAAAAAUUGCUGCGAAUGCUUUGCAUUGGAGGAAGAAAAAGUCGUAACA
rnacentral:rRNA from 1 species